UGCACGCUUCGGGUCAGUUAUUUAUCUAUCUGCCCUGUCGCAAAAGAGAUGACUUCAUCGUCACCCAUGUUGUUUGUCCUCGCUGGCGAAAAAAGACUUGAUUCCCAGACUGUGACUCACUGAUAGUGUGUGAGCAAUCUACAUGUAGGUCAACACCCAAUCAAUAAAGAUAAUGGGCCCUGAUUUACUCGCUGUGUGCACAAUAAUCUGGAUUGUCAGUUGAGGGUCUUUAUCUCAGCAGAUUAAAACAGAUUGAUGGUGCUAUGUCCUAAUGUUUGCAAGACAGGAACAAAUUAUGACAUCUCCGUGUGCAGGGGGAGUAAAGUCCUCUCUUUCUGGUUAUUUUAAGAUUCUUGGGUAACAGAUCCAGCUCUUAAGACAUCCUCUGCAGGCUCAAUUGUCCAGAACACGACCCAAAGGAGCAGUUGUGCUGCUGCUGCUGCACCAGGAAGUCAAGGGGGCUGAUUGCUCUUCCUGUUUUCGGGUGCGAGUCUUUGGCUGCUGGUACGCUCCUCUCUGCCAAGUUUCCUCCAUCAGCGGAUCAAAGGGAGAAACAGCCAGACCCUGUGUCUUUUUGUCCGUUGAGGCCCCCUUCCUCGCAUAAAGGCUUUCGUCAGACGUGUGCCUACGUUCCCCUCACCCCCCAACUCCGAGGUCCCACUCCAAGCCGUGACUGGCCUCCUGCCCAGAUGGGCACCAACUCGCCCUCUUUGUCUGCAGAUCUGGCACAUGACCCCCUCUGGCAACUGGCGACAUUGGGCCGGGUUCCAAACGCCACCCACGCCUUGAUUGUUCCCCCGUGCCCCAUUUUGCCCCCAAGAACUCCCUGCACCCCGUCGAAGGCCCAACGCCAAGAUGGGCACAGCAACAACAACAACGACAACAACCAUAGUGUCAGUGCUCAUGUGUGAUCUGUGUGAAGUAAUUGCUUCAUCGCAAAGCCUCAGCAGACAUGUGUUGUCUGGAUUGUCUCAGUGUGAUGGAAUUCGAGACACAAAUCCUUCUGACAUGAUUAUUAUACCUUGACAGCAACAUCCAUACUUCUUUUGAUAUCUUUGUUUGUGCUAAAACACAUGUAUUGUAUGAAAGACAUGUUUCACAGAGUUUGCAAUUAGGCGUAAGCCACAUGUGCAGGCUGAAGCUCCUUGGCAUAUCUUCAAACCCUGCUUGCCACUGACAAUCUCCACAUAACCAAAAACAAAACAUUACAUUUUUUUAAAGCACCAAUAAUGCUGUUGUUGUUGUUUUUUGUUUUUUUUACCACAACUGUAAAAAAAAGGGGGAUGUAACAUGACUGCACUUUAUAUCUUCAUCUCCAAAAUCAGCUGAUUGUUUCACUUUCUGAUAAAGGCCAAAUUUAUGAAAUUAUGAUCUACUACAGCGCAGCGUGUGUGUGUGUG
rnacentral:lncRNA from 1 species